rnacentral:rRNA from 1 species
GACCUGCGGAGGGAUCAUUACCGAGUUUACAACUCCCAAACCCCUGUGAACAUACCUAUACGUUGCCUCGGCGGAUCAGCCCGCGCCCCGUAAAAAGGGACGGCCCGCCCGAGGACCCCUAAACUCUGUUUUUAGUGGAACUUCUGAGUAAAACAAACAAAUAAAUCAAAACUUUCAACAACGGAUCUCUUGGUUCUGGCAUCGAUGAAGAACGCAGCAAAAUGCGAUAAGUAAUGUGAAUUGCAGAAUUCAGUGAAUCAUCGAAUCUUUGAACGCACAUUGCGCCCGCCAGUAUUCUGGCGGGCAUGCCUGUUCGAGCGUCAUUUCAACCCUCAAGCUCAGCUUGGUGUUGGGACUCGCGGUAACCCGCGUUCCCCAAAUCGAUUGGCGGUCACGUCGAGCUUCCAUAGCGUAGUAAUCAUACACCUCGUUACUGGUAAUCGUCGCGGCCACGCCGUAAAACCCCAACUUCUGAAUGUUGACCUCGGAUCAGGUAGAUGCCCAGUG